CAAUCAGAAGUUUCGGCGAUAUGACGUCAUGCGAAUUUUUGUCGCGCGGUAUUUCCCGCAGUUGUUAACCUCCAAUAUUUACAUCAACAAGCAUUGAAUUUGAACCAGAAUUUAGUAUUUGAAAUGACAACCGAGACUACGAAGAUAGCGUUUUUCGGUGACAGUUAUGUAGUUCGUUUGGAACGGUGGGGUGUGAUUCCAGAUGUGCCUGGUCGUUUCCGGUUUUUCGGGCAGGGGGGGAUGAGGGCCCAGCGGCCUCAUCAACAAUUGCUCGAAAGGAUGUUAAGAUGGGAACCAGAUGUAGUUAUCGUCGUCCUUGGGGGAAACGAUAUCACUUCAAGGUGCCAGCCACGUGAUAUAAGUCUGGACAUCCUUAAGUUGUGUCGGCUGGUGAAGGCCCGAGGUGUUGCCACCGUGGUGGUGGCCGGCAUUUGCCAGAGGUGGGCAUUUCGCGAUAACGCCCUUACAUCGGACCGCUUCACGGCCAUAGGCAGCGCUAUCGAUCGUUAUGUCAAGAGAUAUUUUGCGGUAUCAUCCAUGGUUCACGUGCGGGAGGAUGUCCACUGGCUUUCAGACGGCGUACAUCUAAGUGAGGAAGGAAUGGCAGAAUUUAUGGAGAGUCUAAGGCUGAAGUUGGCCAAGAUUUUUAAACCUAAGGACUUAGUAUUGUAAACAAGGACUGUUUGUAAAACAUGCAUGCCCCCCAUAUGGGCUCUCCGUUGUAGUGACAGCCAUUGUGUGAAUAUGUUUUUUGUCACUGUGACCUUGACCUUUGACCUAGUGACCUGAAAAUCAAUAGGGGUCAUCUGCCAGUCAUGAUCACUGUACGUAUGAAGUUUCAUGAUCCUAGCCAUAAGCGUUCUUGAGUUAUCAUCAGGAAACCAUCUUACUAUUUCAGGUCACCAUGACCUUGACCUUUGAUAUAGUGACCUGAAAAUCAAUAGGGGUCAACUGCGAGUCAUGAUCAAUCUACCUAUCAAGUUUCAUGAUCCUAGGCAUAAGCAUUCUUGAGUUAUCAUCUGGAAACCUUUUUACUAUUUCGGGUCAUCAUUACCUUGACCUUUGGCCUUGUGACCUGAAAAUCAAUAGGUGUCAUCUGCGAGUCAUGAUUAAUCUACCUAUAAAGUUUCAUGAUCCUAGGCCUAAGCGUUCUUGAGUUAACAUCCGGAAACCAUUUUAGUAUUUUGGGUCAUCAUGACCUUGACCUUUAACCUAGUGACCUGAAAAUCAAAAGGGGUCAUCUGCGAGUCAUGAUCAAUGUACCUAUGAAGUUUCAUGAUCUUAGGCAUAAGCGUUCUUGAGUUAUCAUCCGGAAACCAUUUUACUAUUUCAGGACACCGUGACCUUGACCUUUGAUAUAGUGACCUGAAAAUCAAAAGGGGUCAACUGCGAGUCAUGAUCAAUCUACCUAUCAAGUUUCAUGAUCCUAGGCAUAAGCGUUCUUGUGUUAUCAUCGGGAAACCAUUUUACUAUUUCGGGUCACCGUGACCUUGACCUAGUGACCUGCAAAUCAAUAGGGGUAAUCUGCGAGUCAUGGUCCAUGUACCUAUGAAGUUUCAUGAUCCUAGGCCUAAGCGUUCUUGAGUUAACAUUCGGAAACCAUUUUACUAUUUCGGGUCACUGUGACCUUGACCUUUGACCUAGUGACCUGAAAAUCAAUAGGGGUCAUCUGCCAGCCAUAAUCAAUUUACCUACAAAGUUUCAUGAUCCUAGGCAUAAGCGUUCUUGAGUUAUCAUCCGGAAACUAUUUUACUAUUUGGGGACACUGUGACCUUGACCUUUGACCUAGUGACCCGAACCAAUCGACAGACAGACCGACAUGUGCAAAGCAUAAAAAGGGGGGCAUAAAAAGAAUGCAUGUGUGUGCCUCCGAACACAAGUGACACUCGGAUUUUUUUUAAGUGCUGUGCCUCCGAACACAUGUGACACUCGGAAUUUUUUUUAAGUGCUGUGCCUCUGAACACAAGUGACACUCGGAUUUUUUGUAGUGCUGUGCCUCCGAACACAAGUGACACUCGGAUUUUUUGUAGUGCUGUGCCUCCUAACACAAGUGACACUCGAAUUUUUUGUAGUGCUGUGCCUCCGAACACACGUGACACUCGGAUUUUUUGUAGUGCUGUGCCUCCGAACACAAGUGACACUCUGAUUUUUUGUAGUGCUGUGCCUCCUAACACAAGUGACACUCGGAUUUUUUGUAGUGCUGUGCCUUUGAACACACGUGACACUAGGAUUUUUUUUUUAAGUGCUGUGCCUCCGAACACACGUGACACUCGGAUUUUUUUUAAGUGCUGUGCCUCCGAACACAAGUGACACUCGGAUUUUUAAACUACAAAUGGGAGGAAAAGCCCGAUAAGGCGAUAUAAGCCGAACCUAGCAACAAUGAAUCUAGUGGUGCCCGUUGCAGAGCCCUGAAUCCAUUUUAGGGAAAGAGGCUCGCUACCCUCAUGAGGGGAAUUUUUUGCAGCGUUUCGCUUUUGGGGGGGGGAUUUUUUUACUUACUCUCAUUAUUACAUUUUAGGGGGAAUUUUUCCCCCAAAAGGGGAAAAAAACGUAUACUUUUCAGUUGGGGGAAUGCGGCUGAAAUUCGGCCACAGAUUUGAAAGAUUGAGGGCCCUGCGUUGAUACCCCUGCCACUGAGCAGCUAAUACGAGUUAUAACUAGAAUUGAAUGCGUCGAUUCGAUUACGAUACCAACCCUACUUAAUUCAAUUUAAUUCUUUAAUAUAUAGACAUAGAUACGUAGAGUGCGCUGUACUCUGACUAUUUGAUACGGGAAGGUAAAUGUUUUAUCUUAACCUAAAAUAACGACGCGCGAUAUUGGUUACUUAUUACUUUAGUCAUUCAAUCAAUAAGCGCAUUACGGUCUACUUUCCGACAAAGAGUCAAAAUGGCUGAAAAAGUUGUGGCUGACAAAUUGAAACAAGGGCUGUUUGUAAAACAUGCAUGCCCCCCAUAUGGGCUCUCCAUUGUAGUGACAGCCAUUGUGUGAAUAUGUUUUUUGUCACUGUGACCUUGACCUUUGACCUACUGACCUGAAAAUCAAAAGGGGGUCAUCUGCCAGUCAUGAUCAAUGUACCUAUGAAGUUUUAUGAUCCUAGCCAUAAGCGUUCUUGAGUUAUCAUCUGGAAACCAUUUUACUAUUUCGGGUCACCCUGACCUUGACCUUUGACCUAGAGACCUGAAAAUCAAUAGGGGUCAUCUGCAAGUCAUUAUAAAUCUACCUAUUAAGUUUCAUGAUCCUAGGCAUAAGCGUUCUUCAUUUAUCAUACAGAAACCAUUUUACUAUUCAGUGUCACCAUGAACUUGACCUUUGACCUCAAAAUCGAUAGGGGUCAUCUGCGAGUCAUGAUCAAUGUACCUAUGAAGUUUCAUGAUCCUAGGCAAAAGCGUUCUUGAGUUAUCAUCCGGAAACCAUUUUACUAUUUCGGGUCACCUUGACCUUUGACCUAGUGACCUCAAAAUCAAUUGGGUCAUCUGCAAGUCAUGAUCAAUGCACCUAUGAAGUUUCAUGAUCGUAGCCAUUAGCAUUCUUGAGUUAUCAUCCGGAAACCAUUUUACUAUUCCAGGUCACCGUGACCUUGACCUUUAAUAAAGUGAUCUGAAAAUCAGUAGGGGUCAACUGCGAGUCAUGAUCAAUCUACCUAUCAAGUUUCAUGAUCCUAGGCAUAAGCGUUCUUGAGUUAUCAUACGAAACCAUUUUACUUUUUUGGGUCACCUUGACCUAGUGACCUGAAAAUCAAAAGGGGUCAUCUGCGAGUCAUUAUCAAUGUACCUAUGAAGUUUCAUGAUUCUAGGCAUAAGCAUUCUUGAACUAUCAUCCGGAAACCAUUUUACUAUUUAGGGUCACCGUGACCUUGACCUUUGACCUAGUGACCUGAAAAUCAAUAGGGGUCAUCUGCCAGCCAGUAUCAAUCUACCAACGAAGUUUCAUGUUCUUAGACAUAAGCGUUCUUGAGUUAUCAUCCGGAAACCAUUUUACUAUUUCGGGUCACUGUGACCUUGACCUUUGACCUAGUGACCUGAAAAUCAAUAGGGGUCAUCUGCGAGUCAUGAUUAAUCUACCUAUCAAGUUUCAUAAUCCUAGGCCUAAGCAUUCUCGAGUUAUCAUCCGGAAACCAUUUUACUAUUUCGGGUCACCGUGACCUUGACCUAGUGACCUGAAAAUUAAUAGGGGUCAUCUGCCAGCCAUUAUCAAUCUACCUAAGAAGUUUCAUGAUCUUAGACAUGAGCGUUGUUGAGUUAUCAACCGGAAACCAUUUUACUAUUUCGGGUCACCGUGACCUUGACCUAGUGACCUGAAAAUUAAUAGGGGUCAUCUGCCAGCCAUUAUCAAUCUACCUAAGAAGUUUCAUGAUCUUAGACAUGAGCGUUGUUGAGUUAUCAACCGGAAACCAUUUUACUAUUUCGGGUCACUGAAACCUUGACCUUUGACCCAGUGACCCGAAAAUCAAGAGGGGUCAUCUGCGAGUCAUGAUCAAUGUACCUAUCAAGUUUCAUGAUCCUAUGCCUAAGCGUUCUCAAGUUAUCAUCCGGAAACCAUUUUACUAUUUCGGGUCACUGUGACCUUGACCUUUGACCUAGUGACAUGAAAAUCAAUAGGGGUCAUCUGCGAGUCAUGAUCAAUUUACCUAUGAAGUUUCAUGAUCAUAGGCCUAAGCGUUCUUGAGUUAUCAUCCGGAAACCAUUUUACUAUUUCGGGUCACCUUGACCUUUGACCUAGUGACCUGAAAAUCAAUGGGGGUCAUCUGCGAGUCAUGAUCAAAUUACCUAUGAAGUUUCAUGAUCCUAGGACCAAGCGUUCUUGAAUAUCGUCCGGAAAACACCUGGUGGACGGACCGACAGACCGACAUGUGCAAAGCAAUAUACCCCUCUUCUUCGAAGGGGGGCAUAAUUAUCAGAUGGCGUUAUGAAACUAAAAUCAAAAGUGUGGCAGUAUUUAGUGACUUGGGAUGGUAGCCCUCCCGAUAAAAUAACGUAUAAACUGUGCUUAACGGACCUGAUUUACUCUUUUUUUUAGCUUAUCUGUCACAAAGUCACAUGGUGAGCUUAUGUGAUUGUGUGUUGUCCGGCGUCCGUGUGUGCGUCUCAACAAUUUGUGUAAACAGUAGAGGUCACAGUUUCAAUCCAAUCUUUAUAAAAUUUGGUCAAAAUGUUUAUCUUGAUGAAAUCUGGGUUGGGAUUGUUUUUGGGUCGUCUGGUCAAAAACAAGGUCACUACAUCAAAAACUAAGUAACUAGGUCAAAUAAUAGAAAAACCUUGUAUAUACAAUAGAGGUCACAGUUUUCAUCAAAUAUGUAUGAAAUCAAGUCAGAAUGUUAUCUUGAUGAAAUCUGGGUUGGAAUUGUAUUUGGGUCAUUUGGGGUCAAAAACUAGGUCACAAGGUCAAAUGAUAGAAAAACUUUGUGUAGACAAUACAGGUCAUAGUUUUCAUCCAAUCUUUAUGAAAUUUAACCGGAAUGUUUAUCUUGAUGAAAUCUGGAUUGGUGUUUUAUAUAGUUCAAAUAGGGUUAAAAACUAGGUCACUAGGUCAAAUCAACAACGACCGUAAAGACACCCCCGAACUUAAAGUUUCGGUUCGAGGGUGGGGAGGUGGCGAUGUGUCACUCCUUAA